UAAUUCCCCUAUAUUACAAACAAUUUAC
rnacentral:sRNA from 1 species